rnacentral:rRNA from 1 species
AUUGAACGCUGGCGGCAGGCCUAACACAUGCAAGUCGAGCGAGCGGCGGACGGGUGAGUAAUGCCUAGGAAUCUGCCUGGUAGUGGGGGAUAACGUCCGGAAACAGGUGCUAAUACCGCAUACUGAUGGAUGGACCCGCGGUGCAUUAGCUAGUUGGUGAGGUAACGGCUCACCAAGGCCACGAUGCAUAGCCGACCUGAGAGGAUGAUCAGCCACACUGGAACUGAGACACGGUCCAGAAUCCUACGGGAGGCAGCAGUGGGGAAUAUUGGACAAUGGGCGCAAGCCUGAUCCAGCCAUACCGCGUGGGUGAAGAAGGCCUUCGGGUUGUAAAGCCCUUUUGGUGGGAAAGCGGUACCCAAAGAAUAAGCACCGGCUAACUUCGUGCCAGCCGCCGCGGUAAUUC